rnacentral:tmRNA from 1 species
UCACUCGGAAGCUGUUGCUCCGAAGCAUUCCGGUUCAGUGGUGCAGUUACAUCGGGGAUAGUCAGAAGUGGCCUUGCGCUUCUGAUGAAACUUUAAAGGAUAAGGCAGGAAUUGAUGGCUUUGGUUCUGCUCCUGCACGAAAAACUUAGGCAAAGAUAAGCAUGUAGAAAGCUUAUGAUUUCCUCGUUUGGACGAGGGUUCGAAUCCCUCCAGCUCCACUU